rnacentral:rRNA from 1 species
CCUACGGGGGGCAGCAGUGGGGAAUAUUGCACAAUGGGGGAAACCCUGAUGCAGCGACGCCGCGUGAGUGAAGAAGUAUUUCGGUAUGUAAAGCUCUAUCAGCAGGGAAGAAGAUAGACGGUACCUGACUCAGAAGCCCAGGCUCAAUACGUGCCAGCAGCCGCGGUAAUACGUAGGGGGCAAGCGUUAUCCGGAUUUACUGGGGGUAAAGGGGGCGUAGACGGCUGUGCAAGUCUGAAGUGAAAGCCCAGGGCUCAACCCUGGGACUGCUUUGGAAACUGUGGGGCUAGAGUGCUGGAGAGGUAAGUGGAAUGCCUAGUGUAGCGGUGAAAUGCGUAGAUAUUAGGAGGAACACCAGUGGCGAAGGCGGCAUACUGGACAGUAACUGACGUUGAGGCUCGAAAGCGUGGGGAGCAAACAGGAUUAGAUACCCUUGUAGUC